UACGUAGGCAGCAAGCGUUAUUCGGAAUUAUUGGGCGUAAAGGGCGCGUAGGCGGCUUGGCAAGUGGAAGGUGAAAUCCCUCGGCUUAACCGAGGAACUGCCCUCCAAACUGCUUCGCUUGAGACCGGGAGAGGUGAGUGGAAUUCCCAGUGUAGCGGUGAAAUGCGUAGAUAUUGGGAGGAACACCAGUGGCGAAGGCGGCUCACUGGACCGGUACUGACGCUGAUGCGCGAAAGCGUGGGGAGCAAACGGG
rnacentral:rRNA from 1 species